rnacentral:lncRNA from 1 species
CCCCUGACUAAGCUGGCUGGAGUCUGACUACAUCUGGAGAGCCACAGGUUAGUUCCAGGCAAGGUGGUGAGUAGGUGGAGCAGAGUCUUCUCCCUCCCAGAUUAAAAAUCUGGGUUGGAGAAAAACUUGGGGUGUGUGGUGGCACUAAGUGCAUUGCUCACCUUAUAUUUCAGGUGAGCAUCAUGUUACUACAACCAUCAGUGGGAUCUUAGACAGGACUCUUGCUCCACAGGGUUUAAUCCGGCACUGCCCAUCAGCCCCAGACAGUAUGGCCAAUUGUGAGGGAUGACAGGAGUCACAGUCCAAGGCAUCUAGAGGACAUAAGGUUGGGGAAGGAUGCCUGACUCUCAGCCCAGAUGAUACAGGAGGUAAAUAACCCUUUCCUGAUCAUUGUCCAGAAGCCUGACAUUAGAUGGCUAUUUUGUUGAAUAAAUACCAGAUAUCAUGCCAGGCUGUUCAUUUCCCUGCCUUCUCCCCUGUGUUUGAUGUCUUGUCCUGCAAAUACCACCACCUGAUCUUGACAUACACUUCCCCCUUUUAAAAGCAAACUUCCCAUCCAAAAACGUUUCAUUUGCUCCCUACAUUUACUUUGAUCUCUUCCCUGAAUGUUUAAUCUCUUCUCAUUGUAUUACGGGCUUGUAAUCCUGUUUUACAUCCUGCUAUCUAUUUCCAAAUUUUUUGUAUAAAUUUGCUAUUCAACGUGACAUUUACACAGCACUAAGGCAGUGCUGUCGUAUUUACAAGAGAAAGAGCUACAGUGGAAAAUCAACACCAAAGACAAAAUUGCUGUUUGGGGGCGAGGAAGCCUGCCAUAACUUUGUUUAAUUUUUAAGACCCUUUGGAUGGGAACAACUCUCUCUCUCUCUUUCUCUCUUUAGAAAAAAAAUAAUAUCUUUCAUUAUUUCUCCUGUGAGCAAUCAGGACAACCACCAGAAGGAUGCAAAUGUAUUUGUUUUGCUUUGGUUGCUGUGAAAAGAGUCAGAGGAGGGAAAGCACACUGUCAAAUGCAGCAUGCAUUAAAAGAGAAAACACAGCACCAUCCCAAAUGGUUGAAGAAGGGCUGUGGCUCAGUGAUAAAUCGUAUGCUUUGCACACACAACCGAGUAAUGUAGGCAGUUGCCUUAUACUGAAUCAGUCCUUUGGUCCAUCUAGCCCAGUAUUGUCCACACUGACUAGCAGCCGCUCUCCAGGAUUUCAAGUAGGGGUCUUUCCUAGCUCUGAGAUGCCAUUGGAGAUUGAGCUUGGGAACUUCUGCAGGCAUAGAAGAUGCUCCAGCACUGAAGUAUAGCUUUUUCCUAAAGACUUAAAGCCAUAGGUAAAGGUAAAGGGACCCCUGACCAUUAGGUCCAGUCGUGACCGACUCUGGGGUUGCAGUGCUCAUCUCGCUUUACUGGCUGAGGGAGCCGGCGUAUAGCUUCCAGGUCAUGUGGCCAGCAUGGCUAAGCCGCUUCUGGUGAACCAGAGCAGCGCAUGGAAAUGCUGUUUACCUUCCUGCCGGAGCCGUACCUAUUUAUCUACUUGCACUUUGAUGUGCUUUCGAACUGCUAUGUUGGCAGGAGCAGGGACUGAGCAACGGGAGCUCACCCUGUUGCGGGGAUUCAAACCGCCGACCUUCUGAUCGGCAAGCCCUAGGCUCUGUGGUUUAACCCAUAGGAAGCUAUUUUACACUGAGUCAGAUCAUUGUCCCAUCAAAUUUAGUAUUGACAAUACUGACUGGCUGCCUUUCUCCAGGAUUUCCUGUGGGGUUUCUUUGUACCUGGAGAUGCCAGGGAUUCAACUGGGACCUUGCAAAGCAGAUGCUCUAUUAUUGAGCCAUGUCCAUGUCCCUAAAUUUGACCCCCGGAAUUCCUCAUGAAAGAAUCUCAUUCUCUCCAGGCUAUAAUCCUGAUCUGCCUUGCUCCACACCCUCCUCAAGUGCUUUUUCCUGACUGGAAUGUGUCAUUGGAACUAUGUUGAUGUCUCUUACUCACCCGGGUGGAAAGAUGCACAUAUAUGUGUAGAAACCUUGGCAACUUUUGGGUAGCCAGAGCAGGGGGAGGAGGUUGGGCUCACCCCCCCCCACAAAUUGUGGGUGCCUGGGCCCCCAGGGCCCCUAGGAGUUGGUGCCAGUGAUCCUGGCUGUCCUUUGAGUACUUCUAGACAAGAAGAGGCUUCCUGUUCAGCCUGAGAGUCUGACUGGGCAGCAACAAGGCUUCUUGGCUCUGUUGUGUUCUGGUCUGCUCCUUGGAAUCAUCGGUUGUCUUGAUCUCCACUAGAGUAGAAGUGGGGUAGGGAUAAAAACACCUUAGGCCCAGGGGCAACAUGUGGCCCUGCGGGUCUCUUUAUCUGGCCCUUGGAACUGUCCUAAGGCCACAGCUCUUACCGACUUUGCUUUGCACUCCAUGUGUUUUGUGUGGCUGAACUGCAUCCUAAUAAUGUCUUCUGCUUUCCUGGAGGAAGAAUAGAGAGGGGUUUGUGAAGGUAUAGAAACUAGCCUACCAUGCAAAGGUAAAAUUUAUACCAAUUGCUCCACCCAUUUUUUUGCUUCUGGAAUAGGAUGUGGUCCUUAGGAUGGAAAAGGUUCUGCACAAUUCUUGGCUCCUGGUUGCAUUCUGACAGCUGCCUAUAACUCCACCCUGACAAUCAUCCCCUGUGAUGUAGAGGCACAAUGAAGCUUAGUGCAUAAAUGCUAUGGACUUGACCAUCUGCCUGUGCUCAUCAAUGGAGCAGUACCUUCUGCUUGGUUUGCAAUAGGCUCCUGUCCAAGUCCUACCUCUGGCUCCAACUCCGGCAGAUUACUGCACGGAUUUUGGAGUAGAGACCAGGUACUCCAUCUUUAAAUUGGGUCUGCCUGCCUCUGACCCUCCCUUUUGCCACUGCACACCAAAUGUGGUUGCAUUCUUCAGGCUCUCCGGGUUUAUGGACAGGGUUAAAUACUUUUAGAGGCUUGCUGAAUGACAACAUGGAAACAAAUAAUCCCCAACCUUCACUUUGCUCCUUCCAACAACCCCAUCAAGCAGCCACUACUCAAUGAGCAGAUUAAUGCAUUCAGAUGGUGGCAUAAUGGAGAGGAAAUUCAGUGUCUAAAUGAACGGAUUGUGCAGGACUAUAAAGAUGAGUUAUGGCAUCUCCUCUUUGAAAACUCCUUUUAGCUUAAAAAAUAUUGCUCCUAGCUAAAAGGGGGGUGGGGAGGAAAAGCGGAAGUAUAUAGAUUUCACAGGCUAGCCUGUGAGCACGCACCCAACACAACUGUCGGGGCUGAAAUUGCUUCAUAUAUCAUCGGCCAACACCAAGUAGAUAAUGGGAAACAAGUUCUGAUCUGGGAGAGAUUAUGGUUGCUGAUUUGGAGCAAUGAUGGACAGAGCAGAGCAUCUGCAGUGUGGUCCUCUUAAACCAGGUUGACCUCACAUGGCGGAGAUUAACAAUCAGUUUGCAUUGACCAGCUCAAAUGAGGUGUCAUCAUGAUGGAGAAGCCAUCAGAGGAGUCAAUCAUCUUUAUCUCUCAUUCUCUUUCAAACUAGAUUGUCUCCUCCUCGGCUUCUUUUGCUGGAGGUAUGUGUGAGUGGUUUAAAAAGAAAAAGACAAAAAAACUCCUUUGCCUUGCUGUCAGAACAUGAACUGCAUAGAAAAUUACCCCUCCCUGUGUUGGAAAAUCUGUGUUCAGAUGAGUUAUCAAAAUGCAGACGCUAGAAGAAAUGGGAAGGAAAAUUGUGGGGGGGGGGGGAAGGAAGGAUAUGAUUGGCUAAUUUAUUUUAAUGUCAGCUUGCUCUUCUCCACCUAAUCUGAUGUGAUAUUCAAACAUUGUGGUAAUUUUCCAUUGUAUGGAGGACUUUAUUAUCUUGGGGGGGGGGUGUAGUCACUGUUUUUAUUUUGCUCAUGCAAGGGGGGGGGGGAAGUUGCCAGUGCAGAUUUACAAGAAGAAGAAGAAGAAGAAGAAGAAGAAGAAGAAGAAGAAGAAGAAGAAGAAGAAACAACACCCAUCCUUGGUAUUAAUCUAUCUGUAUUAGAUAUCUAUCUAUCUAAUCUAUCUAUCAGGGGUUUUAAGAGCUGAAGUCUGCUGAAGAGUGGUUAGUAACUAUGAGUGAUUUCAGAUGGCUCACAAAGUUGUCUUUAAGACCCUCCAUUCUUCAUGCAGGCAAAAUAUUCAGCUGCUUUCCUUUCAGACUUACAUUUGGGGGGGGGGUACAGUGAACCUCUUCAUUGAUUUUUUAAAAGAGAAUAAAUUAAAGCUCUAGCAAAGUGAGUAGAACAGCUAAUAAUAAUAAUAAUAAUAAUAAUAAUAAUAAUAAUAAUAUAUUUCUACCCCGCCAAUAUGGCUGGGUUUCCCCAGCCACUCUGAGCAGCUUCUAUCAGAAGAUUAAAAAUACAUUAAAACAUCAGUCAUUAAAAACUUCCCUAAACAAGGCUGCCUUCAGAUGUCUUCUAAAAGUCAGGUAGUUGUUUAUUUCCUUGACAUCUGAUGAGAGGGUGUUUCACAGGGCAGGUGCCACAGCUGAGAAGGCCCUCUGCCUAGUUCCCUGUAACUUGGCUUCUCGCAGUGAGGGAACCACCAGAAGGCCCUUGGCACUGGACCUCAGAAUAAAGGUGUUGGGGAGGGGAAGGGGAAAAUACAGAAAGCAAAUAAGUGAGACCAUUCAGUGGGGUUGCCAUAUUUUGAAGAGCAAAAAAAGGGACACAUUUGCCGACUUCUAGUUUUAACUAUGGAUCACUAUGACGACUCUCAUUUUUAUAUACCCAUGAAAAUGAGGACGUGUCCUGAAAAAAGAGGACAUAUGGCGACCCUACCAUUCAGUAAAAUUGUUAAUUGAAUCAUCUGGCAUUAUCUGUGUGGAUUGAAAUUCCUCCCUGCAAGUAUUUAGGGUUGGAAACCAUUUUUUAUAAAUAAAAUAAAAGUCAAGAUUCUAAGGAUGGUAAGUUGUGCAGAUUUAAUGUGCUCACAGAUGACAUAAAAGCACACUCAACUUCGAUAGUCAUUAGGAAAUGCAAGGGGCCUCUGGAAGUGUCAUGCUAAAGGGUUGCUGCAGAUAUCCCUGCAAAAACAAACAUGGACAUACAUAAGACUAUGCAGUGGAUUACUCUACAUGGGUUUGCCUUUGAAGACGAUUCUGAAAUUUCAGCUGGCUCAGAACUUUCAGCAUUUCUUUAUUUUGUUCACGAAUCACUUUCCAUAAAACAUCCCCAAGCAAUUUCACAAUGGAAACAUCAACAAUGAAAGCAUUUAGAAAGACAAUUCCUAGGCCAAUGAAGAUAAAGACUGGGAUAAAUAUAUCCACUUAAAAGGCUGGUUGGAAGAGGAAAGUCUUCAACAGUCUCUCAAGAGACCACAAAGAUAGUGCCUCUAUGAUAUAUAAUGUAAUGGAGUUCCAAUGGGUGAAUUAGUAAGAAAUUAAAUAUAUAUGGAUGAGACAAUGUUUUAGCCAAUGUUCAUUGGCUACUGGUUCAUUUUGGGUCACAGUUCAAAGUGCUAGUUUUGACUUAUGAAGCCUUAAACAAUUUUGAGGUAGGUUACCUGAAGAAUUUUCAACUCCCGUGCAAACCUGAGAGAAAUUUUGAGAUGUUUGAGAAAGGGACUUCUCUCCACCCAACAAUUAUCCUAUGUGCUUCUCAGUAGCCUGGACAAAGUAUUGAAACAACUGGAGCAAUUAUCCAAGGAAGCUCUUCUUAUCUCUCUAUCUCAGGGGUGGGGAACUUUCAACCUAUGAGCCUAACUAGGUCUAGACAAGCUUUAAUUUUUGUGAGCCACCUCCAGUCCUGGUUCUCGGGGAAAGGCAGGAAAUGAAUGAAUGAAUGAAUGAAUGAAUACAAACACAUCAUCAACAAACCCUGUUCCUUUGCCUGUAUAGUUUUAUUUCAAACCACCUGAGAAAAGGAAGUGAGCUAUUUAAAGGUGCCACCAAUCAGCUUAUCGCCAACACUUGAAAUCACCUGUGCAUGUGCCCAUGCAGUUUGAAACACAAGCGAAGAAAAAUGUCUCAACUGAUGCCACGGCAACGUCAGACUGCCCACUUGUCAAAAUGGUUUACAAGGCCUGUUGGAGGUCAGGAUCUGGUCUACUGGUCAGAUCCAGUUCCUCAUUCCUGCCAUAUUUGUCAGCAAGUAAAAAGUGCUUUUUUUAUUAUUAUUUAGACAGGCCUGUGGCCUGUGAGUUUAUCUGAAGUCGUUGUUGCUCAUUUUGAUAAGAUUUAAUUGGUUGUUCUUUUUACUGACUUGGAUUUAUUGCUGGUCUAUCUUUCUAUCUGUGCUAGAUAUGUAAUGGGAACAUUGUGUACUUGUGUCAGAUCUAGUCACUUUUGUUCUCUCUUUCUCCUUAAGGAUGGGUGGAAGUGGAAACCAUGACUGCUCAAAAUAUGGUGCUGAUAGACAGCUCUUACCUCAGCUUUUGUUUUUUUAAUCAGAGAAUUCUGACUGGUGCUGAUGGACAGCUCUUCAUAACCCGCUGUUAUCCUGCUAGAAAGAAGACACAAAUCCCAGCAAACCAAUACAAACCAGGCAAAGACAUUUUACUCCCCUCCUUUGCAACUAGAUCUGGAGGAUUUAAUUAAGUGACUGUUACUAGCUAGAGCUGGCACUCGUGGCCCAGGAAAUCCAAUACGUCAAGAGUUGACUCACCAAAGUAGCAGAGAGGGCCUCACCAUUCCAAAUCUGAACCAGAGGCCAAAACUGGAUAAACAAGGGUGUGGGCAGAACAGGGAAAAGGUACAGACACAUCCCCCCAAGCAAGAGAUGAGCAUGUUCACUGCAGAAAUACUAGACAGAUGGAAGAUAGUUGGGUUUGGAUUGAUAGAAAUAAAUUGACAUAUUAGAAAUGGCUAUGCAGAAGAUGAACCAGAGACCAAAUUGCAAACAUGCGCUGGAUAAUGGAGAAAGCUAGAGACUUCCAGAAAGACAUCUACUUCUGCUUCAUUGACUAUGCAAAAGCCUUUGACUGUGUUGACCACAGCAAACUAUGGCAAGUUCUUAAAGAAAUGGGAGUGCCAGAUCACCUCAUCUGUCUCCUGAGAAAUCUCUAUGUGGGACAAGAAGCUACAGUUAGAACUGGAUAUGGAACAACUGAUUGGUUCAAAAUUGGGAAAGGAGUACAACAAGGCUGUAUAUUGUCUCCCUGCUUAUUUAACUUAUAUGCAGAAUUCAUCAUGCGAAAGGCUGGGCUGGAUGAAUCCCUAGCUGGAAUUAAGAUUGCAGGAAGAAACGUCAACAGCCUCAGAUAUGCAGAUGACACAACCUUGAUGGCAGAAAGUGAGGAAGAAUUAAAAAACCUUUUAAUGAGGGUGAAAGAGGAGAGUGCAAAAUAUGGUCUGAAGCUCAACAUGAAAAAAAUGAAGAUCAUGGCCACUGGUCCCAUCACCUCCUGGCAAAUAGAAGGGGAAGAAAUGGAGGCAGUGAGAGAUUUUACUUUCUUGAGCUCCAUGAUCACUGCAGAUGGUGACAGCAGUCACAAAAUUAAAAGACGCCUGCUUCUUGGGAGGAAAGCAAUGACAAAGCUAGACAGCAUCUUAAAAAGCAGAGACAUCACCUUGCCAACAAAGAUCCGUAUAGUUAAAGCUAUGGUUUUCCUAGUAGUGAUGUAUGGAAGUGAGAGCUGGACCAUAAAGAAGGCUGAUCACUGAAGAAUUUAUGCUUUUGAAUUAUGGUGUUGAAGGAGACUCUUGAGAGUCCCAUGGACUGCAAGAAGAUCAAACCUAUGCAUUCUGAAGGAAAUCAGCCCUGAGUGCUCACUGGAAGGACAGAUCGUGAAGCUGAGGCUCCAAUACUUUGGCCACCUCAUGAGAAGAGAAGACUCCCUGGAAAAGACCCUGAUGUUGGGAAAGAUGGAGGGCACAAGGAGAAGGGGACGACAGAGGAUGACAUGGUUGGAUAGUGUUCUCGAAGCUACCAGCAUGAGUUUGACCAAACUGCGGGAGGCAGUGGAAGACAGGAGUGCCUGGCGUGCUCUGGUCCAUGGGGUCACGAAGAGUUGGACACGACUAAAUGACUAAACAACAACAACAUGCAGAAGAUAGAGGAUCACAGAGGGAUUCCAGUCAUAUAAAUUGGGAGGCUAGACUGAUGGGGACAGGAUGACAUGCAGACAGAAGUGGCUCAAACUCUCCCUGCACCUUUUUCCAUCCUCCCACUUAUAAUAUUUAUAAUGAAGAAAUAAAGCUAGAGCACAGGGACUAAGUGAAGAAUGUGGGAGUCAUGAUAGAUGCAAUGGCAGCCAGAGCAAUCUGGGCAGUAAACACUGAGAAAGCAUCUCAGGACUCUAUUGACACAGUGGGAGGAUGGAUGAGAUAACUAUUAAGGCACCCAGGGCGGCAGGACUUUUCUUUUUGCCUAUAAAGCAAACAGUGGCAGCAUCUGAAAACUCUCGGUUUGAUUUGUCUGGGUUUCCAUAGCACUCUCUUUCUGCCUCUGGUGACUAAAAUAUUCCCAUUUGAAUCAAUAGAGUCUUUGCUUCCCUUGAAAAUAUGCCCACUGCUCAUUUCAGUCAAGUCGUUUCUAUCCAUCAAGUCAAGUAGUUCCAUCUCUGAGCUCAUGACACUUAAAUUUCCUACAGAUGAGGUGGGAUAGUAAAAAAGAAAAAAGGAGGGGGAGGGAAUUGGUCUUGGAAUCAAAACUAUAUGAGUGAAGAGGUCUGAGCUGGAUUUGAUGCUAUUGGUGGACAAUGUUUGUGUGUGACAGAGAGAGAGAUGUGGAGAGAGACAGGGUGAGCAAGAGUGUUUACACUAGGGAUUGGGUAUCUAUGACCCCUGACCAUUCAUUGAUGGACUAUAGCAUCCCUGAUCUUUGGCAGUUCUGGCUGGAGGUGAUGGGAUAUGGGAGGCCAACAAAAUCUGGAGGGCCAAACAUUCUCCAUCCCUGGUUUACAGAACAAAUAUGGAUGUUUGGUGAGCUGGGUCUGAGAACAGAUACAUGUAGCAUGUUCUUCCAAUGGAAAUGUAUGUUUACCAUUAGGAUGGCGUCCUGAAGUUGCAUAAAGCGUGUACUCCAUCAUCUAGGGAUAUGCAAGAUGCCUGGGAAGAAGUGCUUGAAUUGAAGGAGGUCCUUCACUGCUAUUUCUUUUUCUCCCUUCAAAAGCGUGCAGAGGAGGAACUGCCAAGAGUGACACUCUUUCCCACUUUGUCUUUCAUAUCUAUGCACUUUUCAAUACUCAGAUUAAUUCUACUGGAGCUGGUCCACACACACUAGAGAGAGAGAGAGAGAUUGAGAGAUCACUUGUAGAUGCAAAGUGAGUGGCUGUGCACCUACUUUCUCUUUUUUCAGGUUCUCUGGGGUGGGGAGGCUUAUCACAGGGGACAGAGGGGGGCACCCAUGUCUUUCACACAAAAUUCCAAAUGUGGACAUGGGUUGAAAAAGAUUAGCAUUGCCUAUCCUGUGUUGUUAUGGGACGCAGGUGGCGCUGUGGGUUAAACCACAGAGCCUAGGACUUGCCGAUCAGAAGGUCAGCAGUUCGAGUCCCCACAAUGGGGUGAGGUCCCGUUGCUCGGUCCCUGCUCCUGCCAACCUAGCAGUUUGAAAGCACGUCAAAGUGCAAGUAGAUAAAUAGGUACCGCUCCUGCAGGAAGGUAAACGGCGUUUCCGUGCGCUGCUCUGGUUCGCCAGAAGCGGCUCAGUCAUGCUGGCCACAUGACCCGGAAGCUGUAUGCCGGCUCCCUCGGCCAAUAAAGCGAGAUGAGCGCCACAACCCCAGAGUCAGCCAUGACUGGACCUAAUGGUCAGGGGUCCCUUUACCUUUUAUCCUGUGUUGUUGGCAUCCAUCCAUCUCAAGAGACAGUGGAGUACACUUCCAGGGGUGAAGUUAAAGCUCUGCAAUAGCAGCACCAAGUGAUCUCCCUGGGGUGCAAGCCUGGGCAGUGUGUAUGGAGGUCCUAGAUUGCCCAGAUGACAAGACCCCUCUCUCAGCCUUGCUCAUGUGGUCCAAAGGAAAGCAGAACAAUACGUUUGGCACCAGCUUGGCUGCAGGAAUUGUCAGGAGGAUGCAUACAAGAUUCCCCCCAACUGUCUUUGUAACUCCACUCUGGAUUUGUGUAGGGUUUACUCAGUAGCCUUUUUCUCCAGAAGGCAAUGGAAGUUUAGGAUCAGAGUUUUCCUUCUUUCUCCUAGAUGGGCUAUCUUCCCAGGUUGAUGAGCCCCAUUUGCCCCUCACUUCCCUCUACACAGCAUGUGCAGAAACCUCCUCCUUGACUGUUGAACCCACUGUUAGUCUUGUCCACCAGAGCCUGUCUUUGCAUGCAGGGGAAGCUCCUAAUUCACUGAAGGUUUGAGACCCAUCAGCUACCCUCACUUGGUUUAGCCGGCCAGUCAAAGCCAUUCCCAGGGUGUGGCUGCUGUCACAUGCUGACAGCUUCUAGGAGCCACAAGUGAGAGCUGAGUACAAAAGUGGACAAAGUACCCCAGAAGGAGCACAAUGUAUGUCCCCCACCAGAGGUCCUACUCCUCCCCUAACACCUUCUGAUAUUAGCAAUGUCUCAGUUCAGUUACAGUUCCUCAGCAUUUCCAUGCAUGGAAAUUUUGCCCACAUACCUCUGUGGUUUAGGAAGUUUUUAGCUAGUUGUUCCACAUGAGAUCACAAGAAUAUCAUUUUUAAAAAACGACAAGAGAGUAUUUGCUGAAUAAAAGUACCAAGGAAAAAAAAUGUAGAUUCUGGUAAGCUUCCCACAGUCUUGGAACACAAUUACCUAUGAAUAAAAAUCUGAAUUCCACAGUGGGCCCCAAAAUCUAGUAAAGUUGUGAGUAAGAGAAAUGCCUGAGUUGCUAUUCCCCUCGGCGUGACACUUUUGAUCAAUCCAAGACUUCCAGUUCCUGGGACUGACAGUUUAGCAUUAAGUUAACUCUGAAUGAAUGAAUUGAAUUAGCCAGUCCCUUUGUGGAAAGAUGGAGGAUUCUUGAGACAUUGCUUCAUGGGGUAUUGAGAAAAGGCAGCUCAUAAACCAGCGAGGAACUUCACGGUGGCGAGCACAACAAAGCCCAGAGCACAGGCUUUUGCCUGUCGUUGCUUUGCAGCAAAGACAAGCAAGUCAAAAUUUUUAGCCUUCUGUCGUUCCACCAACAAAUUAAAACUAAUUGAAUGAUCCCCACCAUUCAUGAAAGGUCCGUGAUUGUUCCUCGCGAUUGUUCCGAGAAGUGCCAGCUCCCACAAAGCCGCCUUUGUCAUCAUUAAUACAAAACCGCCCUGCGCACGCUCUUCCUUGCAGAGAUAAAGAGGGAAGGGGGAGAGACAGAGAGAGAAAGAGAGAGAGAGAGAGAGAGAGAAGACACAAUUUGUUAUCAGGUUUAGAAGAUGCAAUUGGAAGGAUGAUUAUAAUAUCAUCAUCUGGGUUUCAGCUGUCCCUGCUCAUUCAGACAGGCAGGCUGAAAUAUGAAGUGACAAAACACACAGAAACCCUUCAUUCUUGUUUGCACACAAACAUUUCCAUAACUAGCAAUUUUGUGGAAAGAGACUCGGGGGGGGAGGAAGAAGCAUAAAUGGAAAGAGGGUGGAACAGAUAUUAGACUCAAUAGGGCAGUUUAACUGUUACUAUAACAGCAUAGCGGCUUUGCAUGAAAACAGCAGAUUUCAGAAGAGGCCCAAAGGGGUUAAAAUGAUGCAUUUCUUUGUUCCCAUUGUUGAUCUCAGACAUUUUUUUUUUGUAUAUGCUCUCUCUACCCCCCCUCCUUUAAUAUAGCCAUAACAUUACAUUAAUUCAUCUAACACAUGCCAUGCCACGAAGUUGCUCUCUCUUUCUCUUAAUUAUUGUGAUCAAAAUAUGGCUUCAAAUGGAAGGCAGCUGCAUUUGUAUCCGUCAGAUAUCAUAAUUGCGACCGUAAAUUGGGAAACAGAACAUUUCCUGGUGUUUUGCCGUGAGUAAUGGGACCAGAAUCAUUAUGGAUGGAGGGAUAUAAAUAAACUGGGGCAGAUCUAUAAAACUAAGGAAAAGCAAGUUAAAAGGAUAAUUACUGGAGCAAACAGGAACAGUGUAAAUGCAGAACAAGGUGAUAUUUCAUUGCACAGUCAAAAUUCCCUUUAAAUCAGGGGUAGGGUAUAUCAGGACCAGGGGGUGAAUGUGGUCCUCCAGGUAUUUCUAUGGCCCCUGGAUCAAAUAACCUCUCCCUAGGCCACCAGCUCUACUCUGUGUCUUUCUCAUUCUUUGCCUGGCUGGAAAACGUAUACCCUGCAAAUAAAGUGUACUAUUUAAGUGCCUUGUUUUUCAUAAUAGCUCUUUAUAUUGUGUGUUCAGACGACAUGCCUUUCCCAUGACUGAAUGGAGGAUGGACAGGAGUGUGUGCUAGAAACCUCCGGCUCUUACAUGGACAGAAGGAACACAAUUUGCCAUUAUGUUCAGUGAUGCCUACGCUGAUCGGCAGCAGCUCAGACAGAGAAUGAUUCUUCACCUGAUAUUUUUAACUGGAGACCCAGGGACUUUCUGCAUGCAGAUCAAGUGCUAAUGGAUGGCUCCUCUGUGUUGGGGUAGGUAUUCAGGGUAAAGUCAAAGGCACUCUGUACAUGUUCAGGGGCAGAGGUAUUUCAUAUCAGCUGCCCUUUGAUUCAUCUAAUGGUAGAUGCUGGGGCGUGAACUUGGGACCUUUUGUGGGCACAGCAGGUGGUCUCCUACUCAGCUGAAAGAUCUCCUGUCUUUUGGUAACAAUCAUCCUGCAAAGCAAAAAAAUGUGUGCUCUUUUGAGCAUGAAAAGACUGAGCCAGGCUAGCUGGAAGUAUUGACGAGAAAACAAGGGGUGGAAAUUAACAAAAGCUUAACAAUCAUUUAUUUCCUUUUGUUUGUUUUGCUUUUCAAUUUCCAGAACUGGAGAAGAGCCAGACUAGCAGCAGGGACUAUCUCUGGGCCUGGAAAGAUAGCAAGUAAUUAGAGCACAUUCAGAUCGAGAACAUCAACAAGUUUGGAAGCAGUGGCAGACCGUGGGGUCUCAAAUUUCAGCAGCACCAUGUUCAACACCAAAAUUCUCUCUCUCACCCCCCUCUUGCCUUCCAUUCUACACCAGAAUUGUGGCACCCUUUGGCAUGGGUGUAGCCAGGAUUUAUGUUGGGGGGCGGGACAGCGCAAGACACUCUGCCUGGCUCUGUCUAGCAGAUUCAGAAUGAAAUGUCUCAACAGCAGUUCUUUUCAAUUCUUUCUUUUGACCCC